GACGAACGCUGGCGGCGUGCUUAACACAUGCAAGUCGAACGGUGAAGCGCCUUCCUUUUUGGUGGGUGUGGAUGAGUGGCGAACGGGUGAGUAACACGUGAGUAACCUGCCCCCUUCUUCUGGAUAACCGCAUGAAAGCGUGGCUAAUACGGGAUAUUCUGGGUCUGUCGCAUGAUGGGUCUGGGAAAGAUAUUGUUUCGGUGGGGGAUGGGCUCGCGGCCUAUCAGCUUGUUGGUGGGGUGAUGGCCUACCAAGGCGGUGACGGGUAGCCGGCCUGAGAGGGUGGACGGUCACACUGGGACUGAGACACGGCCCAGACUCCUACGGGAGGCAGCAGUGGGGAAUAUUGCACAAUGGGCGCAAGCCUGAUGCAGCGACGCCGCGUGAGGGAUGGAGGCCUUCGGGUUGUGAACCUCUUUCGCCAGUGAAGCAGGCCUGCCUCGUUUGUGGAUGGGUUGACGGUAGCUGGAUAAGAAGCGCCGGCUAACUACGUG
rnacentral:rRNA from 1 species